UACGGAGGGUGCAAGCGUUAUCCGGAUUUAUUGGGUUUAAAGGGUCCGUAGGCGGAUCUGUAAGUCAGUGGUGAAAUCUCACAGCUUAACUGUGAAACUGCCAUUGAUACUGCAGGUCUUGAGUGUUAUUGAAGUAGCUGGAAUAAGUAGUGUAGCGGUGAAAUGCAUAGAUAUUACUUAGAACACCAAUUGCGAAGGCAGGUUACUAGGCAACAACUGACGCUGAUGGACGAAAGCGUGGGGAGCGAACAGG
rnacentral:rRNA from 1 species